rnacentral:sRNA from 1 species
GCGCUGCUUCUCUACCAGGUCGUUGACCAC